GGCCGGCACCGGAAUUGGUUGAG
rnacentral:siRNA from 1 species